rnacentral:misc_RNA from 1 species
UUUCCGACCAGCAAAUGCAACCAUAUAGCCAUUUGAAGACGGAUUGAAGGAAGACACAGAGGAAGUAGUGUUGACGGUAAGAAGGGAGAUCUCAUCAACCUUAGGUCUAAACACAGAUAUCAGAGAAUUUCCAUUCGUAAGACCGAGCCUGCUGUCGCAAGGAGACAACUGCAAGGUUUUAUUGAACAGAAACUUCUGCUCCGUCGCAAAAGCAAACCCUAAGGUGAAGCCGUCGGACUUCUCAACAGUUGUGUCGGUGCAAGGUGAGAAAACUCGGUUGUUAUCGCUAGCUUCGACAACCACCGCCGUCACCAACAGAAGCAGAACGGCGAACGCCAGUGGGAGAUCGGAAAUCACCAUGGUCGAAUUGGAGAUCGAAGCUUGGAAAUGGAAA